UACGUAUGGUGCAAGCGUUAUCCGGAUUUACUGGGUGUAAAGGGAGCGUAGACGGAGCGGCAAGUCUGAUGUGAAAACCCGGGGCUCAACCCCGGGACUGCAUUGGAAACUGUCAAUCUGGAGUACCGGAGAGGUAAGCGGAAUUCCUAGUGUAGCGGUGAAAUGCGUAGAUAUUAGGAGGAACACCAGUGGCGAAGGCGGCUUACUGGACGGUAACUGACGUUGAGGCUCGAAAGCGUGGGGAGCAAACAGG
rnacentral:rRNA from 1 species